rnacentral:rRNA from 1 species
AUACGGAGGAUGCGAGCGUUAUCCGGAUUUAUUGGGCUUAAAGGGUGCGUAGGCUGUGCGUUAAGUCAGGGGUGAAAUGCCGUCGCUCAACGACGGAGCUGCCCUUGAUACUGGCGUGCUGGAGUACGGAUGAGGUUGGAGGAAUGCCUGGUGUAGCGGUGAAAUGCUUAGAUAUCAGGCAGAACACCGAUGGCGAAGGCAUUGGACGAAGCUGUCAAUGACGCUGAGGCACGAAGGGGGUGGGAAAGAAGAGUAGUAGAGACCCUGGUAUACCACGCCGUAAACGAGGAGGACGAACCGUGGGCGAUAGACAGCCGGUGGCCAAGCGAAAGCGAUAAGUCAUCCACCUGGGGAGUACGUCGGCAACGAUGAAACUCAAAGGAAUUGACGGGG